UUUCAUUUUGCAGUUACUGGGAGGGGGCUUGCUGUGGCCCUGUCAGGAAGAGUAGAGCUCUGGUCCAGCUCCGCGCAGGGAGGGAGGCUGUCACCAUGCCGGCCUGCUGCAGCUGCAGUGAUGUUUUCCAGUAUGAGACGAACAAAGUCACUCGGAUCCAGAGCAUGAAUUAUGGCACCAUUAAGUGGUUCUUCCACGUGAUCAUCUUUUCCUACGUUUGCUUUGCUCUGGUGAGUGACAAGCUGUACCAGCGGAAAGAGCCUGUCAUCAGUUCUGUGCACACCAAGGUGAAGGGGAUAGCAGAGGUGAAAGAGGAGAUCGUGGAGAAUGGAGUGAAGAAGUUGGUGCACAGUGUCUUUGACACCGCAGACUACACCUUCCCUUUGCAGCUUUUUAGACGCACAGCCACCAAGCCAGCAAGGUCUGCCGAGAUUCAGAAGGACAGAGAACUUUCUACCAAAGAGCACCAGCCCUUCUAGAUUGUGUAGCAUUUCAUCAACAAAAAUGACUCCAGGAGACCAUUCUUGGGGGAACUCUUUCUUCGUGAUGACAAACUUUCUCAAAACAGAAGGCCAAGAGCAGCGGUUGUGUCCCGAGUAUCCCACCCGCAGGACGCUCUGUUCCUCUGACCGAGGUUGUAAAAAGGGAUGGAUGGACCCGCAGAGCAAAGGAAUUCAGACCGGAAGGUGUGUAGUGUAUGAAGGGAACCAGAAGACCUGUGAAGUCUCUGCCUGGUGCCCCAUCGAGGCAGUGGAAGAGGCCCCCCGGCCUGCUCUCUUGAACAGUGCCGAAAACUUCACUGUGCUCAUCAAGAACAAUAUCGACUUCCCCGGCCACAACUACACCACGAGAAACAUCCUGCCAGGUUUAAACAUCACUUGUACCUUCCACAAGACUCAGAAUCCACAGUGUCCCAUUUUCCGACUAGGAGACAUCUUCCGAGAAACAGGCGAUAAUUUUUCAGAUGUGGCAAUUCAGGGCGGAAUAAUGGGCAUUGAGAUCUACUGGGACUGCAACCUAGACCGUUGGUUCCAUCACUGCCGUCCCAAAUACAGUUUCCGUCGCCUUGACGACAAGACCACCAACGUGUCCUUGUACCCUGGCUACAACUUCAGAUACGCCAAGUACUACAAGGAAAACAAUGUUGAGAAACGGACUCUGAUAAAAGUCUUCGGGAUCCGUUUUGACAUCCUGGUUUUUGGCACCGGAGGAAAAUUUGACAUUAUCCAGCUGGUUGUGUACAUCGGCUCAACCCUCUCCUACUUCGGUCUGGUAAGAGAUUCUCUUUUCCAUGCUUUAGGAAAAUGGUUUGGAGAAGGAAGUGACUAACGCAGCGCUUGUCUGCAUUCUCCCCAGGCCGCUGUGUUCAUCGACUUCCUCAUCGACACUUACUCCAGUAACUGCUGUCGCUCCCAUAUUUAUCCCUGGUGCAAGUGCUGUCAGCCCUGUGUGGUCAACGAAUACUACUACAGGAAGAAGUGCGAGUCCAUUGUGGAGCCAAAGCCGACAUUAAAGUAUGUGUCCUUUGUGGAUGAAUCCCACAUUAGGAUGGUGAACCAGCAGCUACUAGGGAGAAGUCUGCAAGAUGUCAAGGGCCAAGAAGUCCCAAGACCUGCGAUGGACUUCACAGAUUUGUCCAGGCUGCCCCUGGCCCUCCAUGACACACCCCCGAUUCCUGGACAACCAGAGGAGAUACAGCUGCUUAGAAAGGAGGCGACUCCUAGAUCCAGGGAUAGCCCCGUCUGGUGCCAGUGUGGAAGCUGCCUCCCAUCUCAACUCCCUGAGAGCCACAGGUGCCUGGAGGAGCUGUGCUGCCGGAAAAAGCCGGGGGCCUGCAUCACCACCUCAGAGCUGUUCAGGAAGCUGGUCCUGUCCAGACACGUCCUGCAGUUCCUCCUGCUCUACCAGGAGCCCUUGCUGGCGCUGGAUGUGGAUUCCACCAACAGCCGGCUGCGGCACUGUGCCUACAGGUGCUACGCCACCUGGCGCUUCGGCUCCCAGGACAUGGCUGACUUUGCCAUCCUGCCCAGCUGCUGCCGCUGGAGGAUCCGGAAAGAGUUUCCGAAGAGUGAAGGGCAGUACAGUGGCUUCAAGAGUCCUUACUGAAGCCAGGCACCGUGGCUCACGUCUGUAAUCCCAGCGCUUUGGGAGGCCGAGGCAGGCAGAUCACCUGAGGUCGGGAGUUGGAGACCCGCCUGGCUAACAAGGCGAAAUCCUGUCUGUACUAAAAAUACAAAAAUCAGCCAGACAUGGUGGCAUGCACCUGCAAUCCCAGCUACUCGGGAGGCUGAGGCACAAGAAUCACUUGAACCCGGGAGGCAGAGGUUGUAGUGAGCCCAGAUUGUGCCACUGCUCUCCAGCCUGGGAGGCACAGCAAACUGUCCCCCAAAAAAAAAAAAGAGUCCUUACCAAUAGCAGGGGCUGCAGUAGCCAUGUUAACAUGACAUUUACCAGCAACUUGAACUUCACCUGCAAAGCUCUGUGGCCACAUUUUCAGCCAAAGGGAAAUAUGCUUUCAUCUUCUGUUGCUCUCUGUGUCUGAGAGCAAAGUGACCUGGUUAAACAAACCAGAAUCCCUCUACAUGGACUCAGAGAAAAGAGAUUGAGAUGUAAGUCUCAACUCUGUCCCCAGGAAGUUGUGUGACCCUAGGCCUCUCACCUCUGUGCCUCUGUCUCCUUGUUGCCCAACUACUAUCUCAGAGAUAUUGUGAGGACAAAUUGAGACAGUGCACAUGAACUGUCUUUUAAUGUGUAAAGAUCUACAUGAAUGCAAAACAUUUCAUUAUGAGGUCAGACUAGGAUAAUGUCCAACUAAAAACAAACCCUUUUCAUCCUGGCUGGAGAAUGUGGAGAACUAAAGGUGGCCACAAAUUCUUUGACACUCAAGUCCCCCAAGACCUAAGGGUUUUAUCUCCUCCCCUUGAAUAUGGGUGGCUCUGAUUGCUUUAUCCAAAAGUGGAAGUGACAUUGUGUCAGUUUCAGAUCCUGAUCUUAAGAGGCUGACAGCUUCUACUUGCUGUCCCUUGGAACUCUUGCUAUCGGGGAAGCCAGACGCCAUUUAAAAGUCUGCCUAUCCUGGCCAGGUGUGGUGGCUCACACCUGUAAUCCCAGCACUUUGGGAGACCAAGGCGGGCGGAUCACUUAAAGUCAGGAGUCCAAGACCAGACUCGCCAACAUGGUGAAACCGUAUCUCUAAUAAAAAUACAAAAAUUAGCUGGGCAUGGUGCGGGCACCUGUAGUCCUAGCUAUCAAGAGGCUGAGACAGGAGAAACACUUGAACCUGGGAGGUGGAGGUUGCAUUGAGCUGAGAUCGUGCCACUGCACUCCAGGCUGGGUGACAGAGCGAGACUCCAUCUCAAAAAAAAAAAAAAGAAAAAAAAAAUGUCUGCCUAUCCUGAGACUGCCCUGCUGUGAGGAAGCCCAAGCAGUCACGUGGACAGUGCCUGACCAGCCCCAGCUUUCAAGCCAUCCAAGCCCAGUCACCAAACAUGAGAGAGAAGAAGCCUUCAGGUGAUUCUGGACUCCACUAACAUAUGACUGAUACCGCAUGAUACAUCCCAAGUGAGAACUGCCCCAUAAAUCCAGAAAACCACAUUGCUAUCUUAAGUCCCUAAGUUUGGGGCUUAUUUGUUCCACAGCAACAGGUAACUGGAACAGAGGGCAAGCCUGAUGAAUGGGCACACAGACUCAGCCCAUACCUUCCCUGGUUCUAAUGUUCUCAGGGAGCCCGGACCAACCCUGGGAGCCUCAGGAACUUAGGUUUCCACUGGACAGUUCUAGAAGGGCUAUAGACCAAAUCAGGUAACUCACCAGACCAGCCUUGGAAUCUAUCAAAUCUAACUGCUGAGCUACCCAAUGCAUUCCGAUCCUCAUCACAAUUCUUUGACUGAAGGCCGGGCGUGGUGGCUCACGCCUGUAAUCCCAGCACUUUGGGAGGCUGAGGCGGGUGGAUCACCUGAGGUCAGGAGUUCGAGACCAGCCUGGCCAACAUGGUGAGACCCUGUCUCUACUAAGAAUACAAAAAUUAGGUGGGUGUGGCGGUGGGCGCCUGUAAUCCCAGCUACUUGGGAGGCUGAGGCAGGAGAAUCUCUUGAACCUGGAAGGUGGAGGUUGCAAUAAGCCGAGAUAGUGCCACUGCACUCCAGCCUAGAUAACAGAGCAAGACUCUGUCUCAAAAAACAACAACAACAACAACAAAACAAUUCUAUGACUGAAAGUGACUAAAAAGCUGGCUUUAUGCCAUUAACACUCUGUACUUUGCAGCCAAUCAGAACUGACGCAGUCUGGGUGCUAGCUGCUUCAAAAGCAACCCACACCACACUUUUACCAUUUCCAUACAUCAACUGCUGAGAAUAUGAAAAUGCACAGUGACAGGUUUUAGGAUCCUGCUUCAGGAUUUCCUUUUCCUGGUUUGGUCACUAGAGUUGGCUAUUUAUCUGUUUCUAAACAAUAGCUAUUUUAUCGAAUAGUUUAGAGACCACUAUUAAAUAUUGUGACUGAUGAAGGAUCUGUGAAUUUUUUUAUAUAUGUUCUAAGAGUUACCAUUUUGAUACCUUUUAAAAACCAGCAGCUUUCUACUAUAUUCAUGUAAGACAGCAUGAAUAAAACCAUUUUUUGAUACAGGGUUUUAUUUGGCUUUAAACUCAGGAACCAAGUUAAUUAUGCCAGAUUGAACUUUGAUUUUUACUACCUUUUCAAAGAUAUUUUAAAAAGUGGAUUACUACAUAUGAUUUCUUUGGAGCUUACAUUUCUUUACUUCACGAAUUCUAUGUCACUGUUACAAGUUUCCAUUCUGAUGGCUUCUGGGCCUUUGUACCUUUGUUUUUGGUGCCUUAUUCCUAGUAUGUUUCUAUCACCUUAAUGAGGCCGCAGAUGGAGUCAGAAUGUGAAAUUACAAAUAAUCACUGGAUCCAUCUACUGUUUUCCAUCACCUUCCCCACUGAUGCUCUGGGCGAGAGAGUGAUGUGUCACUUCAACUGUGUGUAAUAUGUCAGACACGUCCUACAAUAACAGGCGUCAUAUUUGUAUUAUUUUUAGUUUACUGUAGAAAAUAAUGUCACCGCCAAAGGUGAUGAGAGUCACGUUUUGUAGGAUCUGUUUUCUUAUACUUAAAGACAGACUUCUGCUACGGUAAUUGCCAGUAUUCAUGGCUUCCUUUCUGUGUCAGAAGAGAAGGGAUCUGCUUUCUCUUGGCUGAUUUCACAUAGCAUUGGUAAUAGACAUGCAUUUCUCUUUCUAAAGGGGAGUAACUUUUUAAACCCUUCCUGAUUUUAGCCUGGCAAUGUAAGUGUCCUUAAUGUGACUGUUUUGAUAAUUAAAAAAAGGUAUAUAAUUUA